UACGUAGGGUGCGAGCGUUGUCCGGAAUUAUUGGGCGUAAAGAGCUCGUAGGCGGUCUGUCGCGUCGGUCGUGAAAACUUGGGGCUUAACCCUGAGCUUGCGGUCGAUACGGGCAUGACUGGAGUUCGGUAGGGGAGACUGGAAUUCCUGGUGUAGCGGUGAAAUGCGCAGAUAUCAGGAGGAACACCGGUGGCGAAGGCGGGUCUCUGGGCAACUACUGACGCUGAGGAGCGAAAGCGUGGGGGAGCGAACAGG
rnacentral:rRNA from 1 species